rnacentral:lncRNA from 11 species
CCCAAAUUGUGGGGUUCCCUGGGGACUUUUCCAAGGCCCACCUUGGAGAUGCCAGGAACUGGGGUUGCCAGAUUGAAAGUCCUCCUGUCUUUUUAAUAGGGAUAUAGAAGAGAGACUUUCCACCGGUAUUGCUUUCAUACAACAGCAGACUCAGCACUCCUUUUAGAAUCACAAUGUGACAUUGACACUGAAGGAUGGGAGCUCUGACACUUGCCAUCAGGCAUGCCUCAAGCACUCCAUAGAUGGGGAGUGUUCCUAUUCA